CCUUGCCAGCCCGCUCAAGAACUCAAAGGAAUUGACGGGGGCCCGCACAAGCGGUGGAGCAUGUGGUUUAAUUCGAUGAUACGCGAGGAACCUUACCUGGGCUCAAAUGUAUGUUGACGUAUUCUGAAAGGGAUACUUCUUCGGACAAUAUACAAGGUGCUGCAUGGUUGUCGUCAGCUCGUGCCGUGAGGUGUCGGGUUAAGUCCCAUAACGAGCGCAACCCUACCUUUAGUUGCCAUCAGGUAAUGCUGGGGACUCUAAAGGAACUGCCUACGCAAGUAGUGAGGAAGGCGGGGAUGACGUCAAAUCAGCACGGCCCUUACGUCCAGGGCUACACACGUGCUACAAUGGCCGAUACAGAGGGCAGCUACCUGGUGACAGGAUGCAAAUCUCCAAAGUCGGUCUCAGUUCGGAUCGGAGUCUGCAACCCGACUCCGUGAAGUUGGAUUCGCUAGUAAUCGCGCAUCAGCCAUGGCGCGGUGAAUACGUUCCCGGGCCUU
rnacentral:rRNA from 1 species